AAACUUCUAACAUAAAUAACUGAGUCGUUCGCUAACUAACACAUCAACUUGUUAUGUUCUCAACACUUCCCCUCAAGUUGAUGCUUUGAAUAUAUUUUCAACUCCAAGUUGAUUCAAAAGAACUUCAUGAUAUGCUUUCCCAAUGCUCUUAAUCAGCAAAUCUGCUAGCUGACCUUUGUUGAGAGAGGAUAAGUUAUGAUUACUCCUUGGCUGUUUUUCUCACACAAAGUGACAUUCUACGUCUAUGUGUUUGGUUC
rnacentral:lncRNA from 1 species